UCCUGACGGGUGAAGACUGGAACAUGGUGAUGUAUGAUGGGAUCAAGUCUCAGGGAGGAGUAAACGGUGGAAUGGCCUACUCCGUCUUCUUCAUAGUGCUCACACUCUUCGGCAACUACACCCUGCUGAAUGUGUUCUUAGCUAUCGCCGUGGACAAUCUGGCCAAUGCUCAGGAGUUGACCAAGGAUGAGGAGGGCAAGAAGAGGCAGCUAAUGCCAAGACAACCCUGCAGAAGGCCAAGGAGGUGGCUGAAGUUAGUCCUCUGUCUGCCGCUAACCUCUCCAUCGCUGCUAAGGAGCAGCAGAAGAAUAACAAGGCUGGUGGUAAAUCAGUGUGGGAACAGAGGACCAGUGAGAUAAGGAGACAGAAUCUGAUGACCAGCAGAGAGGCCCUGUACAACGAGAUGGACACGGAGGACUGGAAGGUCAGGGGAGAGGGGGAGGGAGAGGUGUCGUACCCCCAUCGUGCGGGGGACAUGAAGACCCACCUAGACCGUCCGCUGGUGGUCAACCCCCAGGACAACCGCAACAACAACACCAACAAGACCCGGCCCGGAGAGCCCCCUCUAGACCCGCAGGACACCCUGGGUCACCAGAGGGCUGAAGAAUACAUCAGACGCCAGGCCUGCUACCAUCAGAGGAACAGGGGGGGCGAACCAAGGGGAGUUAGUGGCACAGAGAGAGAGGCCCGUCUGAGGCACGGGGGGAGCAGAUUGUCCCUGCAGACGCUGGAGGGUAUUGAAGAAAGAAGGGAACAUGGAAGGAGAUGUAGGCAUAAAGAAGGGAAGGAGGGGAGGAGUGUGUCACCGCAUUAUAGCGAGGGAGGAGUGGGGGAUGAGAA